AAUCGAGGAGUCAGCUUUCUCGACUCUGGCGGUAGUUAAAGGCUCCUUGGGAAGUUCUUUUUUGGCCCUCGUGAGUCCCUGGACCUCGCCUUCCCUCGGGACCUUUGAGAGUUUCGAGACGCGUCCUGAAGACGUCUGUCGGCGCGGCCUGCGCGGAACGGCGCGCGAUCUUUCGUCAUUUUUAAAUUUAAGUCAACGCUAGAGAGGUGGAUCGCAGUCGGGUGCAUUGAAUCAAUACGUAAAGGGUUAAACAGGGUCAAUUUGGAAUAACUCCGAUAACGGGCUGCACUCGGCGUUGCGAGUUCGAGUCCGAGAUGCGCUCCCUGGAGCGAGAUGCGCUCGCACGUUUUCUUCUAAUUAUUCCCAUAAAAAUUAAAUUUAUAGUAUACACGAAUUUUCUUACAUUUUUUAAAUUACUUCAUAAAUGAUCAAUUCGAGUUUCUACGCGAUUUUGAGAUAUAGAUUAGAAAAGGUAUGGAUUUUUUUGGGACGUUUGCUUUGAGGAACUUUAGCUGAGACAUUUGGAUCGAUCGUUAGCCAAGUGAAAAUUUAAUGAAAAUCCAGAGUCGUUCGUUCCACGGUUCCGAUCGCAAGGACGUAAUCCAUAUGUGUACUUAGAGUAUACAUAUGCAUGCCGCGCUGUUAAACUCGUUACACAAUUGGGCAUGUAACGAGGAAAGGAAAAUAAUGAUCUUCGGCCAAUAAGAAGCGACCGCGCACCACCUAGCUCCAAAAUCAUUAGCGCAAUUGGACUUAAAUCUCCUGUGCUCCUUAUGCACUCCAUUGUGUAACCCACGUUGUACGUAUACCACAAGGGGAUGCCGUACGUGAAGCAUAUGCGUGUACACGUGAACUACGACGGUAAUGGACGCAAUUUAGUCAUCGAAGCUGCGAUCAACAGCUGCGAGCGGAUAGCGAACCUUGAAGAGGGCAUCGUCAUGGAUGGAAAACUUGAGCCAUGGACGUUCUUCGGGGUCGGUCCUUAAAACCUUCAACCAGGAUUAAGAACACCAUCUUAAGAUCUUCAGACCGUGGAAGAUCAUCGAAAAAAGGGAUCUAACAAUGGACAAAGAAGACUGCACUAAGCUUAUUUGAAUUUAUCGCUCAUCGAUAAGCGAACCGAUAUCGUACAAAAAGAUAAUGAGGAGUAAUACUACAAAUUAAAUUAUGUAAAUCGGGAAAUAAUUUCCAUAUUGAGAAAAACCAUAAUUUCAACAGAGCGAAAUAAAAUGCCGCAAGGAAGAUAUACCUACAUAGGUAAUUGAAGUUAAUUAAAAAAUUCUGGGUUUCUAUUAUGGCGAGCAAUAAUAAAUACGUGGAAUAUUAAAUAUUCUGUCGACGGGAUUUAUAAAUUCAUGAAUUUUCUCAUUAGAAAUUCAAGCUCUGGGAUUUAGAGGGGAGUGUUCAUUUCCCGAAUUUUUAGACUGAAGUUUUGCAAUACAAGUUAUUAAUAACAAUGCAGGAUUGAUUUUUAAAUGCGCGGAAGAGCCGUAGUAGGUGCCGGACGAGGUGUGCAAGGUUUCGGUGAAAAAAAAAAAAACCUUUUCGACCGUGACAGGACUCGAACCUGCAAUCUUCGGAUCCGAAGUCCGACGCCUUAUCCGUUAGGCCACACGGUCGGUUGAGGGUAGUUUUCUAUGGCUCGCAUUUCACGUCCAUUCCGCUGGAACCCUUAUUGAUUCUCCUCGCUAUGGACCAAUGGCGUCGCAGCAUCCGACUCUGUCCACCAAUCGCGUUUCUGGAAGCUUACGUGGUCGAUUCGACGCUUUAUCUCGCAAAAAUGCACGCCUCGCUGUCAACACUGCCACAUUAAAUUCCCAUACUACCAUAAGUUCUUCUAACUCUCUUGAGAAUAAUUUUCCAAGAGAUACGUGCUUUCAAAUUUUCCGCCCAAGAUGGAGCCCGCGCAUGCGCGACAACAGUUCGAACCGUCGUGGUUCAAAUCAAACCACCGGCAGAAAAUGGUGAGAAAUUUAUGACAUUCUUCUUGAGAAUAUUAGAAAAGGACGUUUAAUAAGAAACCGUUAACACUGGUCGAGUUGUUAGAGUUUAAGAGCUUGUUUAUUUUGGAUGGAUCGAUCGCGUUGGUCGAUCAUUCGACUAUUAUCGAAACGAUCGAUGACCUUCUUAUCGCGAGGACGAGUCGUUAGUCGUCAGGGUUAAUGUCGAGUGCCGGUCGAAACGAGCCCGCUCUCUUUCCCACCAACCGAUCCAGAUAUCCGCUUCCAUUGUCGCGUAAUAACAGUCCCUGAAAGCUCAACGACAUAAUGGUAAUUGGUAGGAAGGCGUGCGACGUUUUGAGGCUGUUCCAGAAAACCAACGACGACAUUAAUGGAUCUCGACGGACAUCCUGCACUAAAUACGCGCUAACUGGCCGGCAUCAUGCUCCAAUUUACGCGCGAUGCCUUUAAUAUUCAGGAAAAUUUCCGUUUUCUCAGGAUUAACCGUUUAAUCGAGGAUCGUCCGGGGACACGUGGAAAUCUGCGGUACAGGGAAAGUAUGGCCGGCAUUCGGCCUCGUAUGCAAAGCAGCCGCGAUACAAGUCUCGGCAGAAUUAUCCGUGAUUGUGCGAGGUCAAUUACCAGGCAUUAAUCGCCCGCCGAGUAAUUCUGGAAUCGGGUUGAACGAUCGACAAACGAUCGGCGUGCCCACGCGCUGAUUUACCGAGGUCGACAAUCGGCACCCGAGGGUGUCCCAUUUUCGAAGAGGCUUUGCCCCUGGCAGGAGAGGACGACCUUCGAUAUCAUUUCCACGUUUUCAAAGGAGGACUGCUUCGGAGGAAUCUCGUACGGAACAUUCGGAAACGAGGAACGUCUGGAAGAUACGGCGGUCUCGGGGGGUUCCGAAGCGACCCAUUUUGCUCGAGUCUGCGGAAGUGCACUCGCAAGAGAUCCAUCGUGCUCCAAGUGGGAAUAAGGCCGAGCUGCUUGGUCCAACAAUGGCGAAGUCGACGCCGAGAGU